rfam:Nelumbo nucifera unplaced genomic scaffold scaffold00059, whole genome shotgun sequence
AGGCCAUGGUGUGGGCAUUUUCUCAUCAACUCCUUCAUCCUCUCCUAAGCCUCAUGAAUUUCUUCACCCAACGUUUGGGUGAAUCCAGUGGUGGCUCUCCUCAUGGU